GUUGCCCCUACAGCAUUGCAGGAACGGCCGCUGUGUCACACACACAUCAGUAGGUGGCAGAGGAAGGGGCUGUGUCUGCGCUCAGUGUUCUCACAUACAAACAUUCACCGAAAAUAGUGAGUCUGAGACU